rnacentral:rRNA from 1 species
GACGAACGCUGGCGGCGUGCCUAAUACAUGCAAGUAGAACGCUGAAGGAGGAGCUUGCUUCUCUGGAUGAGUUGCGAACGGGUGAGUAACGCGUAGGUAACCUGCCUGGUAGCGGGGGAUAACUAUUGGAAACGAUAGCUAAUACCGCAUAAGAGUAGAUGUUGCAUGACAUUUGCUUAAAAGGUGCAAUUGCAUCACUACCAGAUGGACCUGCGUUGUAUUAGCUAGUUGGUGGGGUAACGGCUCACCAAGGCGACGAUACAUAGCCGACCUGAGAGGGUGAUCGGCCACACUGGGACUGAGACACGGCACAGACGCAUACAGGAGGCAGCAGUAGGGAAUCUUCGGCAAUGGGCGGAAGACUGACCGAGCAACGCGGCGUGAGUGAAGAAGGUUUUCGGAUCGUAAAGCUCUGUUGUAAGAGAAGAACGAGUGUGAGAGUGGAAAGUUCACACAGUGACGGUAGCUUACAAGGAAGGAACGGCUAACUACGUG